rnacentral:rRNA from 1 species
GAGCAUCCUACGGGAGGCAGCAGUGGGGAAUAUUGCACAAUGGGCGCAAGCCUGAUGCAGCCAUGCCGCGUGUAUGAAGAAGGCCUUCGGGUUGUAAAGUACUUUCAGCAGUGAGGAAGGUGGGUAUGUUAAUAGCAUAUUCAUUUGACGUUAGCUGCAGAAGAAGCACCGGCUAACUCCGUGCCAGCAGCCGCGGUAAUACGGAGGGUGCGAGCGUUAAUCGGAAUUACUGGGCGUAAAGCGCAUGCAGGUGGUUUGUUAAGUCAGAUGUGAAAGCCCGGGGCUCAACCUCGGAAUUGCAUUUGAAACUGGCAAACUAGAGUACUGUAGAGGGGGUAGAAUUUCAGGUGUAGCGGUGAAAUGCGUAGAGAUCUGAAGGAAUACCGGUGGCGAAGGCGGCCCCCCUGGACAGAUACUGACACUCAGAUGNCGAAAGCGUGGGGAGCAAACAGGAUUAGAUACCCUGGUAG